UCAACCUCUGGAGCUUUGAUGUCCACAUCUGGUGCCUUAAUUUCAAUAUUGGCUUUAGGGAUUUUCACAUCAACAUCUGUACCCUUCUUUCC